UUAUUUGCAUUUAUGUCCCCCUUCCUCUUGGGGGGAAAACACUCUGCUUAUUCCCAUUUUAUAGAAAAGAAAACUGCCCAACGUCACAGACCAGGCAGUGGGGGAGUUCAGCAUCAGAGUCAGGUGUGUCGGACCUGGGCUCCUGCGAGAGUCACACCAAUGUUCGAAGUCCAAGCAUCUGAGCUGAGCUGGUGUCAUCAAUCUGGCCCUUCGUAUUGCCGACGCCUUCAGAACAAGGAACACCUUCCCCAGGAGCUAUCCAGACCCUGCUGCAGUAUGGGCAUCCCAGGAAGCUUGUCUUCAUCCCUCACCCCAACAGGGUCAGGGACCCACCCAUCCCUGCCCCGAAUGCCAGGCCUUCCGCGCCAACCCAGCCAUGGUCUGCACCCCUCCCCCAACUUGACUUCCAGCUUCCAGGGACGGUGUCUUGUUCAGAUCUGGAUCUUGGGGCCCAAACCAGGGUUGGCACAUCAUAAAUCUCACUAAGGUCCUGCCACCGCAUCUCUCCUUACCCUCCUUAGCGCUGGCCUGGCACAUGCCUGAGCACCGAGAAACAGGAUUGGAUUGGAUCGGAUUGGAUUGGACUGAAUCAAAUCAUGGCACUGAGGCAGACCUGAGACCCACGGGGGGAGAAA
rnacentral:lncRNA from 1 species